CCGAUGUGGAUACUCCUGGAGGUCACACGCUCUGGGCUCUGUCCCGGUGGCAUGGAGGAGCACAGGGCUCAGUGCCCGGUGAUGUACAGUCCUUUUCCACAGCGUCGGAGAUCAAGCCGGGCCUUGAGUCUGCGCCUGCAUAUUCCUACAGCUUCUCAGAGUCCCGUGGACAGUGACCGAGGAGGCAAACCAUGCAGGAAACAGCC